UGUUGACAUUGGAUAGAGAUUGAAAAGUGAUAGUUCAGCAUUUUUGUUGUUGAUAUUAUUCAAAUUCGUUUAUUCAAAUUACAGGAGACGGAGGAUGUAGAUUAUAAAUAGUUUUCUUGGUUUUGUAACUUUCUUUUUGUGUCCAGUUAGUGUAAUUUAUUUCAAUUUGCCUUGCUAACUUCAGUUACCAGCUCGAGUGUGCAGUUUUCGCCGCCAACACUACCACAAAUUUCGUUGACUUUUUGUUGAAGAAUGUAUUUAAUUCUCUUGGGUACACGGAAAAGGUGCGAUUUAAAACCGAGCGUUGACCUCUGCCUGGGAUUAGUUUCAUGAAGAAGGAUGAAAAGGUGAGGGCGUUCAGUACCAACUGGUAUCAAAGCUAAGUCCCCUCCUGUUCCCUGACUAAGUGAUGACCACUCCACUACCAUUAUCAACUCUCUCCUGCCAUGAACUGAAGCCACGUCUCAUGUGCCCGCUCAUCCACUGGCACAUUUUAUGUUUCCUCUCUAAGCACUAUGGUCAAAUCCUGCAUUGAAGUCAAAACUCUGAACACCUCAACUCAUGCCUCAUACCCUCAUUCAAUCACUGCUGUGGUCCCUUCCCAAAACGGUUCCAGCUCUGAUCCAAUGCAGUGUAUGGAGAGCAGUGCCCCCUGCUAGUUGAUCGUCAGAACAGCUGCCAAUGACUGGACCUGGACCAGGUCAGCAUUAUCUCCAGCUGGACAACUGGACUGGAUCAGGUCAUCCUCUACAGCUGGAAGAGCAGGACCACACCAGUGUUCUCCCAGCAGCAUCUGCUCUUCCAGACCACACAGAGCAUCUGGAGCUCAGAGACACCUGUCAUCAUCAUUGACCUCCGAUCCCCAGCUGGAGCGCCGCUCUGGAAACACUGGGGAGGGCCCUGCCGUGUUCUCCCAGCAGCACCUGCUCUUCCAGACCACACAGAGCAUCUGGAGCUCAAGGACACCUGUCAUCAUCAUUGACCUCCAGCUUGAGCGCCGCUCUGGAAUAUUAGGAGGGUGUUCUUAAUGUUUUGUACACUGUGUAUAUAUACAAACGUAUGUGGAUACCCCUUCAAAUUAGUGGGGGUUUGGCUAUUUCAGCCACACCCUUUGUUGACAGGUAUAUCAAAUUGAGCACACAGCCAUGCAAUCUCCAUAGGGAAAACAUUGGCAGCAGAAUGGCCCGUACUGAAGAGCUC